AAAAACAUCGCCUCUUGACAAAAUAUAAGAGGUCCAGCCUGCCCAGUGACAAAGUUAAACGGCCGCGGUACCCUAACCGUGCGAAGGUAGCGCAAUCACUUGUUCUUUAAAUAAGGACUAGUAUGAACGGCAUCACGAGAGUUAUACUGUCUCCCUCUUUCAAUCAGUGAAACUGACCUCCCCGUGAAGAGGCGGGGAUGUAAAUAUAAGACGAGAAGACCCCAUGGAGCUUUAAACUCAGUAUCAAUUACCUUAUUAUACACCAUUUUAACCAGGUAAAUAUGAUUACUAGUUUUCGGUUGGGGUGACCGCGGAGUAAAAUAAAACCUCCACGAUGAAAGGACCAAUCCUCCUAAUCAAAGAGCUACCGCUCAAAGAAUCAACAAAUUGACAUAAUUGAUCCAAUUAAUUUUGAUCAACGAACCAAGUUACCCUGGGGAUAACAGCGCAAUCCACUUCAAGAGCUCCUAUCGACAAGUGGGUUUACGACCUCGAUGUUGGAUCAGGGUAUCCCAGUGGUGCAGCCGCUACUAAAGGUUCGUUUGUUCAACGAUUAAAACCCUACGUGAUCUG
rnacentral:rRNA from 1 species